UAUAGUGUUGGAUCAGGUGUGAAGAAAGACUCCCAAAUAAACUUGUUGGUGGAUAGAUCACGUGAAUCAAAUACAACCAACGCACCCUCACAUGUCUCCCUAAACAUCAUAAAAAUUUCACCACAAUCCUUCAAGAAAAACCUACUGCCCAGAAGUCUUCUUCCUUCCCCUGCUUAUCUCACUAGACCUGCGGUGCAUACUGGGAAGGAAAGAAUUCGAGCUUUAAUUGCAAAGAAGUUCAAGAAACAGGGCCAUCCUCUUCAGUUAAGGAAAUAGGUCAUAAGGAAGUCAGAACCACACCUUAAGGAGAAGAAUAAGUCGAGUUACAUUCUUUGGAGAUGAAGGUAACCAAAAUCAAUCCCCUUUGAGAACUAGUCUAGUGUAGAUUUGUGGAGAAAUCAUUAAGAACGAUUUUGAGGAUGAAUUUCUUUGGUUUACAUUAUUAUUAGCUACUGUAUAUUGAUGUUAAACAGGUGUGACCAUUUCAUGUUAAGGAACCAAGUGGAAGUGAUGUUCUUUUUAUAUAUUAGGAACUAGUUAAGUGUGUUUAAUCGAUUUUUCAUAAGAAAUUUGUGUGUACUUGUAUUUUGAGUAUUUUGAAUGAUGCUGGCUUGGUUGGGGCAGUAGCUUAGAUGGUGAUUAAGAGGUUGCAUGUAUAUGUGUUAAUAGUUAAAAAGUUUCUUGUUUUGGUAGUUGAAUUCUUAAACUAAAUGGGUCAUAAAAUCACUUUUAUUCCAUGUUUUCAAUAAGGAAAGGCCUAUUAAGUUAUGAGAGGAAUGUUUUGAAAUUUGUUACAAGGAAUUCUUGAUAUUGGAAUACUGUAUUUCAUUAGUGGAUAUUGUUAAAAGUUGCUUCCUCAUUCCUUAACACCCCAAAUGUGGGAAAAAAGACUUUAAAACCAUGUUUUAAGGACGAACUAUGUUUGAUUCCCUAGAAAGUUUUUGAAGAAAGAUAUUUCUUCUAGUAAUUGAAAAUUUAUAGUAUGUUGGAGACUUAACAACUUAUAUUCUCAAAGGUUAAUUCCAAGUUAAGGGUUUGUUCAAACUAAAUGUUCUUUUAGGAAGUCCAAAAUCUCCUUUAAUUUUUACUCACGUUACUCUAAGUCACUAGGGGAAAAAAAAGGAAAGGCUGCGGAGGAAGAGUUGCGCUUUUUCUAAAAGCGCAGCCCUACUAGUGAAGGGUUGCGCUUUUGAAGAAAAGCGCAACCCUUCACUUAGUAUGGCUGCGCUUUUCUUCAAAAGCGCAGCCCUUCUUACUUCAGAAGGGCUGCACUUUUCCUAAAAGCGCAGCCCUACUAAGUGAAGGACUGCGCUUUUAUAAAAAGCGCAGCCCUUCUGACUAAGUAGGGCUGCGCUUUGAAGAAAAGCGCAGCCUUUCUUAAAAAAAUUUGAAAUAAAAAAAUCGCGGGCUUUGAAAUAUUAGCGGGCUUCAGAUAUAUUAUCCCUCAUUCUCUCUCCUCUCUCACGUCCCUCAUCCAUUUUCCUCCUUCUCUCCCCUCUCUCACAACCCUCCUCCCUUUCCUCCUUCUCUCUCAUCCUCUCUUCUCUCUCAAAAAUUCCCAGAAAAUGCGACAAACGCGACGAAAAGCCUGAAAUGAUUUGCACGAAUCAUGCCGACGGAGUCCGAUUGCCUAUUGUGAUACCUUUUCGGAAGCGGAACGGGCCAACGAGUCAAACUCACCGCUAUGCCGUGAUGUUUACGCUUUUUAAGCCAUUCGAGUUCGUUUAAGCCUCCAAAUAGCCAUUUUAAGUUUUUCCGAAUUUUUUUUCCUUAAUUAUGUAUUAGGGUUUUGUUUUAUGUAUUUAAACAUUAUUAGGUUAAUGUUUGGAGGUAGUUCUUGUAUUUUCAGAUCUAUAAUGUUCUUGUAUAUACUUCUCUUUGUUUUGAUUAAUAUUCUUGUAUA